rnacentral:rRNA from 1 species
CUAGAGAUAGAGCGUUCCCCUUCGGGGGACAGAGUGACAGGUGGUGCAUGGUUGUCGUCAGCUCGUGUCGUGAGAUGUUGGGUUAAGUCCCGCAACGAGCGCAACCCUUGAUCUUAGUUGCCAGCAUUCAGUUGGGCACUCUAAGGUGACUGCCGGUGACAAACCGGAGGAAGGUGGGGAUGACGUCAAAUCAUCAUGCCCCUUAUGACCUGGGCUACACACGUGCUACAAUGGAUGGUACAAAGGGCUGCAAGACCGCGAGGUCAAGCCAAUCCCAUAAAACCAUUCUCAGUUCGGAUUGUAGGCUGCAACUCGCCUACAUGAAGCUGGAAUCGCUAGUAAUCGCGGAUCAGCAUGCCGCGGUGAAUACGUUCCCGGGCCUUGUACACACCGCCCGUCACACCACGAGAGUUUGUAACACCCGAAGUCGGUGGAGUAACCGUAAGGAGCUAGCCGCCUAAGGUGGGACAGAUGAUUGGGGUGAAGUCGUAACAAGGUAA